rnacentral:lncRNA from 1 species
CACACAUCCACACGGGACAGAUUCACAAGACAGGGUAAAACCAGUUCCAGCAUGAUUCAGAAGGUUUGCUUUAAAAGACAGAGUUGGAUUCCGAGCAGACAGAAUUGUGGGAAUCGGAGUUUCUCUGUUGAAAGAGUGAGGUGUAGUUCGUCCAUUUCUGAACAGAUCCAUCCUGCUUCUCUUGAUGUCGUCCCAGAAUCCCAGUGUUCUCUGGCGAUUAGUCCCUCAGUCCUGUCUGGCGAUUAGUCCCUCAGUCCUGUCUGGCAAUUAGUCCCUCAGUCCUGUCUGGCGAUUAGUCCCUCAGUCCUGUCUGGCGAUUAUCCCCCCAGUCCUGUCUGGUGAUUGUAGUCCUCCCCAGUCCUGUCUGGUGAUUGUAGUCCUCCCCAGUCCUGUCUGGUGAUUGUAGUCCUCCCCAGUCCUGUCUGGUGAUUGUAGUCCCCCCAGUCCUGUCUGGUGAUUGUAGUCCCAGUCCUGUCUGGUGAUUGCAGUCACCCCAGUCCUGUCUGGUGAUUGCAGUCCCCCCAGUCCUGUCUGGUGAUUGUAGUCCCCCCAGUCCUGUCUGGUGAUUGUAGUCCCAGUCCUGUCUGGUGAUUGCAGUCACCCCAGUCCUG